rnacentral:rRNA from 1 species
CACGUAGUUAGCCGUGGCUUAUUCAAGGGGUACCGUCUUCUGCUCUUCCCCCUUAAAAGAAGUUUACAACCCGAAAGCCUUCUUCCUUCACGCGGCGUUGCUGGGUCAGGCUUGCGCCCAUUGCCCGAUAUUCCCCACUGCUGCCUCCCGUAGGAGUCUGGGCCGUAUCUCAGUCCCAAUGUGGCCGGUCAACCUCUCAGUCCGGCUACUGAUCGUCGCCUAGGUGGGCCGUUACCCCGCCUACUAGCUAAUCAGACGCGAGGCCAUCUUCCAGCGAUAAAUCUUUGACAUGUCCGUGAUGCCACGGCCAUGUGUCAUGCGGUAUUAGCAGUCGUUUCCAACUGUUGUCCCCCUCUGGAAGGCAGGUUCCUCACGCGUUACUCACCAGUCCGCCACUAAGCAUUCCCUUCCAUUGUCCGAAAACUCUUUCAGGGGUGCUCCGUUCGACUUGCAUGUGUUAAGCACGCCGCCAGCGUUCGUCCUCGAGUCCAGGAUCAAACUACU